CCCUUAGAUGUUCUGGGCUGCACGCGCGCUACACUGAAGCUAUCAACACGUUUUCCCUCCCUGAGAAGGGCGGGUAACCUUUUGAAUCAGCUUCGUGGUAGGGAUCGGGGCUUGCAAUUGUUCCCCGUGAACCAGGAAUUCCUAGUAGACGCGAGUCGUAAGCUCGCAUCGAUUAAGUCCCUGCCCUUUGUACACACCGCCCGUCGCUACUACCGAUUGGACGUUUUAGUGAGGCAUUUGGACCGACGCAUCUCAGUUUAACCGCUGGUUUGUGUUGGAAAGACUUCCAAACUUGAGCGUUUAGAGGAAGUAAAAGUCGUAACA
rnacentral:rRNA from 1 species